rnacentral:lncRNA from 1 species
UAGAAAACUUCGAAAAUUAUGAAGUACUUGAUAUUCAUAAUGAUAUACAUGUAGAUAAUUGCAAGAAAUCUAGCAACGUAGUUCAGAAAAAACACUGAUAUGUCUGUCCGUACGUCUGAGAAUUAUUCCGUGCCGUCCAUUCUUCAAGGUGCUACUGUAAAGGGGAAUGUUAUAAUUAACUAUGGAAAUCCCAUUGAGGAAAAAGAAAAUUAUCAGAGACAAACCCAGA